UACGUAGGGUGCGAGCGUUAAUCGGAAUUACUGGGCGUAAAGCGUGCGCAGGCGGUUUUGUAAGCCAGAUGUGAAAUCCCCGGGCUUAACCUGGGAAUGGCAUUUGGGACUGCAAGGCUCGAGUGCGGCAGAGGAGACUGGAAUUCCUGGUGUAGCAGUGAAAUGCGUAGAUAAUCAGGAGGAACACCGGUGGCGAAGGCGGGUCUCUGGGCCGAUGACUGACGCUGGAGGAGCGAAGCGUGGGAGCGAACAGGA
rnacentral:rRNA from 1 species